AAGAUGACUGCUAGAAUCACUAUAACUAGAAGAAGAAUUGGGCUGAUGCGGCUGAAAGAAGCAGAAGAAGAAGAAGAAGAAGAAGAAGAUGAGGGUACAGAAUCAUUCGAUAUUGAAUCAGUGCCAACAUCAAAAGGUAAUGGAUGAUGAACUUUCUGCUUUUUGAUCGAAAAAAAGCUGAAAGAGAUAGAGAAAGAUGAUAUAAUCUUAUGCUGAAGAAGGUUGCAUUGUACCUAACCUACCAUUUGAUGCAGAAAACGAAGGAAGCCAUUAAAAAACUAAGGUAUUCUUUGGCUGGUGAAGAUGGGUCUGCAGAUUUCCAUUGUUUAUGCGCCACAGAACAAGAGGAAGAGGGUUGGGAUUUGAUUGGCUUUGUUUUAGUGUGAAAGCCAAGGUGGGUAAGGCUGAGAUUGGCCAUCAAAGUGGCAGUUGAGCCCUACAGUGAUUGAAGAGACUAGAAGAAUUUCAUACAUUUCAACAAAACAACUCCCAAAUUUGAAGGCCCAUUUUCUACCAAACUAUCACAAGGGAACAAUGGAGCGUAAUAGGUUAUUUCAAGUGGUUCGGGGAGCACAAAGAGGAUGGCUAGGCGGGAAAGUUUAUGACCAUUCUCUUGAGUAUAGAAAUCAAUCAUUUUUCAGGUAGCCCAACCUACCACCAUUCUCAUUAAAACUCAUUUCUUACCCAACUCCCGGAUGUGGAGUGAUGCCACAGCAAGGAAGGCAACCUUUACAACAUGAAGCCAUGGCAAAAGCGACAACGACAUGGCAACGGCCCCCAACGGGUCACUGGAAGCUAAAUAUUGACGCUUCAUGGAUAGCGAAAUGGGUCGAGGGACCUAGCAUUGUUUCAAAAGUCGAACAAAAGGCAAUCUGUAGCACUUGGAAGAUCAAAGUUAUGGAUUUGGCUGCAAUUCUUGAAGGGCUUAAGAUGCUUGUUGUACCAACCGACCAUUGCCCUGUUCUUGUUCAAUUAGACUCCAUUCACUCUUUGUACCCUCCCUCUGAAAUGAGUGCUUCGUGGAUCACUUCCACUGCCCAUUCCUCCCUCACCACCAAUUGAACCCGCUUAGCUAUAUCGAUAUCGAACCCUUUGCUCCAAAUCACUUUCCCCAUCAAAAGUUCGAGAAGAAUCUCGCUAAAAGUCAUGGAUGUCGAGCUUGAAUACACUUUCCUCCAUGGAGUGGCAAAUGAUAGGGCAAUCAUUUUUUACCAUAUACAGGUGGCAUGGUCAUACUUGUCCAGAGCGGAUUGCCCCUACAUGUAUGUCCAUUCUAAACCAUUUACCUUGUUUUUAUUGCAUGUAUUAUAUUCUAGCUUAGUUAUUUACCUCU